AGGAAUGUUGAGAGUAGCUUGUUGAAAAGGAGUAAUGGACGGUGGGCGGUGAGUAAGCCUCUGCUGGCGGGACUGUGUGAUAACCGAGCCCAAGGCUUCUCCCGUGUUGGUGGUCUAUGAUAUUUCUCUUUUAAACCAUUCACAUUGGACACUGCUUGGUCCUUCAGACCCAGGAGUUUCCAGUGACUGAAUUCAACAUAUAUUUUCUGGAGUCUGCCUUAAUUAUGUGUAGUCCAAGGAGUGUCUGAGGUAACCAUAUAGAUGGUGCUAUGAGGAUCAAUCUAGAGAUGGGCAUAAAAGGUCAUGGGACACUGUCUUCUGAUGAGUGGCACCUCUCUCUUAGCUAUUUCCAAAGGCAUGGGGAUGGUGGUAGUAGACUUCGCCCUAGGACCCUUCUGUCUGUAAAUUCUAACGGAGCAGACACCUCCCAAGCAACAGAGCAGGCAGCAAGUGGCAGACAGUGGGUCAGAACCGCAAGGGGCUUCAGGGCCAGCCGAGUUCUUUCUCAGAGCUCUAAGAAAGCCACAGUGAGAUCCUUCCCUUCUGGGAGCUAUAACCUGGGAGAAACUGUUUUGAAGAUAGAAUUGUUACUACUAUCCAGACCACUGGUUUGUUACUUAGUGGAGUUGAAAGUUGGAACCUUCAAAUAGCUACUUACUCAACUACAUUUUCACAAGUAGAUUUUGAUCUUGCUUUUUAAAAAUAGUAUCGCAUGGGCUGGAGCAAUGGCUCAGCAGUUAAGAGCACUGACUGCUCUUCUGAAGGUUCUGAGUUCAAAUCCCAGCAACCACAUAGUGGCUUACAACCAUCUGUAAUGAGAUCUGACACCCUUUUCUGGCGUGUCUGAAGACAGCUACAGUGUACUUAGAUAUAACAAUAAAUAAAUCUUUAAGCUGGCUCGUGGAGCUGCUUUUCCAAGCAUGUAAAACACAAGAGUUAAUGGGUGGUAGAGAUCUGCAUCAAAGUUACCAAAUAUCUCUGAGGCCAGGCAUAUGUGCGGCAGCACCAGAGUUACUGCAGAGAGCUCCUGAGUGAGCUAUAUGUGUAACUGUGAAAGUGAGGUCUAAGAAUCAACAGAGUCCCCAGAAAAGAAGAGGAGCCCAAACCACAAGGCAUACAUCAAAUAAAGUUGUAGUUACUGAAUGGAGCCAGCUGGAGGCCACAUGUGUUCAAUGUAAGCUGGAGGGACAGGGCUAUCUGAUUCCUAUUGAACCUAGAUAAUGCCAUCAGUACCCCCAGAUGUUGUGCGUGGCACUUCAGGGUUUGGUCUCUUCCCUGUUGGGUUUGAGUCUUACUUUAUUCUAAUCUUUCCUGGAUAAGACUCCAUUAUUCCUUUUAGGAAUGGGAAUGUAUAUUCUGUGGUAUUGUGUAUGAAGGUGGACUUGGUAUGUUAGUUUGUUGGUUGUAUUUUUGUUUUUUAAAGUUCAUCAGGGCUCACAGAAAACAAUUUGUCUUGAGGGAUUUAAGGCUUUUUACAAUGUUAAGAUGGUUAUAAAGACUUUGGAAACUGGACUAAAUGUUUUUUGUAUUAUGAGAUGUUCAUGAGCCUUUGGAGACCAGCUAUGAAAUGGUAAAGUCUAAAAGUAGCAUGUUUGACAAGAGAAGUUCCUAUAAUGGCUGAUUUUUUAUUGUCAACCUGACUGGGUUUGGGAUCACUUAUGGGACAGUUUUGUGGGUGUCUUUUAGGGAGUUUCCAGAAAGGUUAAACUUCGUAGGGACAAAUAAUCCUCAAUGAUGCUGUUAUCACAUGGGCUGGGAUCUUGGACUGAACAAAAAGGGAAAAAGGAGAAAGUCAGCUGGGUGUGGCCAUAAGUAUCUGCUGCCAGACCAUAGGCACAAUGUGGAUACCAUUGCCAAAUGCCUUCCACAAUGGAUUUUACCCUCUAAAACUAAAUAAAUUCUCCUUUCCUUGAGUUGCUUGGUCAGAUAUUUUAUUUCAUCACGUGAGAAAAAAUCUAAUAUACCUGACCCAUGGUCUUCUGAUAUAUGGCAGAUGCUAUUUUCUGGAGUUUUAUAUGAAUGUAGGCAUAGGAUACUCUGUCUUUGUUCAACUCAUAGAGUUGUUUUGACAUUUAUCUGUGUUGUAUAUAUUGGGAGUUGGUUUUCUUGUGUUGUUGAGUUGUAUAUCAUUAUAUGCACUGUAUAAGAAUUUAUUUAUCUCUUCAUAUCUAAUUUAUCCACAUUUUUAUAUUAUACAUAAAGCUUCUGUAAACAUUGACAUGCAAAAGUUUGUGCGAACAUGUACUCAUGCAACACUGAACAACAGGGGUAUUCUUUGAGAAACGUGUCCCUAAGUAAUUUAGUCACUGUGUAAACAUCAUCAGGCACAUAGUACCUGUGUACCAUAGUAAAGGGGCUGUGCUGUCAUUGGCCAACAAUCUUAUUGUUAUUAUUGUGUAUGUGAUCUGCUGUUAAUGGAAACACUAUUUAAUGCACGAUGGUGUGGUUUUAUUUCUCUUAGAUAAACGCAAGUGGUAAUA